rnacentral:misc_RNA from 1 species
GAUGAAGAAGUAGCGAAGUGCGAUAAGUAAUGUGAAUUGCAGAAUUCCGUGAAUCAUCGAAUUUUUGAACGCAAAUUGCACUCUCUGGUAUUCCGGAGAGUAUGCCUGUUUGAGGGUCAGUAAAAUAAAAAUCGAUGUUGUUGUCAAUGAUAACGCGUCGGAAUUGAGUCGUCUUACCUUUGGUUAAGUGACUUAAAAUUUUUACGCGAAUUCGAAACGUAUUUAAUGUUUAUGUACGUUUGCGAUAUUCCAAUAUUUAUUAGGUGCGGUCAUUCCUAUGAUUCGCGUCUAUAAUUUUUCAUUUCUUGACCUCAAAUCAGGUAAGAGUACCCGCUGAACUUAAGCAUAUCAAUAAGCUGAGGA